rnacentral:rRNA from 1 species
GAGCCUAGUAGAAUGGUUUUGGGAAAGCCAGCCAGAGAGGGUGAAAGCCCCGUACACGAAAGGCAAGCAAGCAUGGCAGGAUCCAGAGUACCACGAGACACGUGAAACCUUGUGGGAAUGCGCGGGGACCACCCCGUAAGGCUAAAUACUCCUUAGUGACCGAUAGCGCAUAGUACUGUGAAGGAAAGGUGAAAAGGACCCCGGGAGGGGAGUGAAAGAGAACCUGAAACCAUAUGUUUACAAGCUGUGGAACAUCUUUAUAUGAUGAACCGCGUACUUUUUGUAGAACGGUCCGGCGAGUUACGCUGGCUGGCGAGGUUAAGGGCUGAAGGCCUGGAGCCGAAGGGAAACCAAGUCUGAACAGGGCGAAAUAGUCAGUCGGAGUAGACCCGAAACCGGGUGAUCUAUCCAUGUCCAGGUUGAAGUUGCCGUAAAAGGCAAUGGAGGACCGAACCCACAUCCGUUGAAAAGGGUGGGGAUGAGGUGUGGAUAGGGGAGAAAUUCCAAUCGAACCCGGAGAUAGCUGGUUCUCCCCGAAAGCUAUUUAGGUAGCGCCUCGGACGAAUACCACAGGGGGUAGAGCACUGUUUCGGCUAGGGGGUCAUCCCGACUUACCA